UCUUUUCUGCCAUUUUUCUCUUCAUUCACACCUUCAUCUUUUUCUUCCUCUGCCUAUAUUAAUGUCUGCAAAAUAUGACAAUUUGGUGGGCUUAAAAGUUUCUUGGGCCGCGAUAACAAUUUGGACCUCGAAACCGAUUCACCAAGGUACCGGAAAAGUUGACAUUAUUUUAUGAAAAAUUUAGCUAAACUAGUCAAAAAAAUCAACUUAUUUAGUGAUAUCUUUCGUACUUUAAUAAUAAACAUGUCAAAAAUGUUAUUAUUUUAAAAAUAAAAAAAUAUGAUGAUGCGAAUCAUGUUUUCUCUCUCCUAAAUUGCACGGGCCCAUAUAUUUCGAUAAUUGGCUAGAUAUUAAAGUCCUUAAAUUAUGGGUUUUUUUUCAAUUUCUCUUUCUAAAAAAUUAAUCCAAAUCAAAUAUACCCAGAUUUUCAGAUUCAAUAUAUUUUUAUUUUCGAUUGUUUUCCUUUACUUUUGUUUCAAGAUUGGAUUUGAAGAUUAACAUUGAUUUGAGUAUUCAAGUUUAUCAUAUUCUUUAUUAUUUGCUUAUUGAUUUUACAGUUUUUAAAGUCUUUUUGAUUUGUUGUUGUUCUUAAAAACCUCUUUUAGGGAUUGAUAAUCCCAAAUUUUCUCUUCCAUGGAUGAUUUCAAAAGAGUUACUAAAGGUGUCGGACAAAAUAAUCGAACUUCUUCUGAUUUUUCAUCAUUUAAUCUUUUUUUCACUCAAGAAAUAAACAAUAAUGUAGGUUCCGCUUCUAAAUUUAUGGAGGAUAGACGAUGUGGAAAAUUGAAGGACUCCGUCAAUGUGCUAAAUUCCACACAAAUUCAUAACGAUAAAGUUGAAGAAGACCAAAUUGUUAGAGAAGAGGUAUCUUAUUUUUUUGCAUGUUCUGUGUCUUGCAUGUUUAGUUGAAUUUGCUUAGUAACUUUAAAGAUUCAAAUAAAUACAUGUUACAAUGCGUUUGUACUAUUAUAGAAUAGAUUUGGAAGUGUAUACGAAAUUUUGAUUUUGUUAGAGUUAUUAUGUAUUUUUGUAUUUCAUAUAUUUAUUGUAUUUUGUAUUCUGAUUAUUUUUGUGUGUUAGUUAUGUCAAUGAAACACAUAUUAUGCGUUUGAUUGUGUUAUUUACUAUUAUAGAAUAAGUUUGUGAGUAUAUAUGGAAUUUUGAUUCUGUUAUAGUUAGUAUGUAG
rnacentral:lncRNA from 1 species